rnacentral:rRNA from 1 species
UAAGUAAGUGGUGGAAAUUAAACCAAAUGGGAUAUCUUUAGUAAUUGCGAAUGAACAAGGAUAUGCUUAGCUUGACAAAUGGAGCUAUUGGCUUUGAAUUGUAUUUGUGGAAUGUAUUACCAACAGGGGUGCAGGUGCCAGCCUAUUAAAUAAAGCGUCAAUGAGGGUGAGAAUCCUGUUUGUCAUGUGCAGCCCUUUGUGCACGGUGUAUAUUUGCUGAGUCACACUCCUUGGCAUUGGAAUGCAAAGUGGGUGGUAAGUUUCAUGUACAGGUAAACAUGCAAUUGAGACUGAUAGCACACAAGUACCAUGAGGGAAAUAUGAAAAGGACUUUGAAAAGAGAAUUAAAUGAGUUUGUAUUUGCUGAACACAAAGUAAACAGACUUGAUUUGCUUGGUGGGAGUGUUGCACUUGCUUGACAAGAGCUUUGGGCUGUGGGUGUAAUGAUUCUUUCUUUGCAUGCCAGUUUCUAUGUGUACAUCUGAUUACCUUUGCACAUGAAUGAUAAGUCUCCUGUGGGGGGUGGAUUGCAUGUGCAUGUAAUGAUUUGUGUUUUGAUAAAUGUGUCUGGUGUAUGUGUGUGUGUUCCUGUGCUUGGGGAUGCUUCCUUCCUUGGACUUACAAGCCCUGACACACACAUGCUGGCAAAAUGCUUCUGCUUGACCCG